AGUAGGGAAACAAAGCUGGGAGCGUCGCCCGGGCGAUAGGAAAACCUUAGGAGCUCUGAGGUGGUUGAGGUGCUGGAAAGCUUCUUGCGUCGUCAAGGAAAUACCUGCCAAUGUAGAGAAGUGUCGGCGGAAUCUUGGAAGUGAUGAGAUAAUUACCUGGGACUGCAGUUACUGGAUCAUAAGGUCAGCUGGGCGGCCCUUCACCCUCCUUGGACAGGUGACCAGUCAAGACAUGGCUCUUCUCAUGGCGAUGACAGAGGUGCAAGAGGCAAGCUCACUCAAACAUAUUUCAGGACCCUGUUUAUGUCACAUCUGCUAAAGCAAGUCACAUCGCCAAACCCAAGGACAGACCAGAAAAUCAGGAGACAAUGUGUUGGGGCAAGGAAUAACAACUACUCAUAAAGCUGGCAGACCAAGAAGGUAGAAGACUGAUGUCCUGGAGAGCCAUCUUCCCCAGGUAAUUGUUUUAUUACUCUUUCAAGUGGACACAUUUUAAACACGACUAGAGUGCCUCCCAUAGACCCUGUUGUGGACUUUUCUCAUCGGAAAUCAAUAUUUAUUUAAGCCAUAAAACCAGAGGAAUUUGGCUGGAAAGUCCUCAUUAGGACCACAGUCAUGUCUCCUUUUCUAACUGGAGGGAAGCUUCUCGUGGGUGCAAGACGGCAGAGGCAGGAGGUGGUGGACUUGACAGCAGAGGAAUGAGCUGGUGCUUGUCCAUUUUCUCUGCGUAUCAGUGUCUCUAAACAUGCAUUGAGAUCAUCAGCUAAAUUUGAAGGGAAACGUGUUGGCGACUUUAGGAGAAAGGAGAAGGCAUAAAACAGUUCUGAAGGAGGGGAGCGUGUUCACACCUCAGGCUUCUCCCUGGGUACUCAACGCCUCACUGAGGAAGGAGCUUUGUCCAGAAGAUUCCUCACCCUGUCCAGAGCGUACGUGCUGGCUGGGAAGCUGCUGUUUGCUUGCCAUGGAGGAGAAAGCAAACAGGAAGCACAUUUCUCUUGAGGGGUAUUUAUAGAUGCUGUAUGCAGUGGGCUCCUGAGGAAGCAUGAUCUGCACAUCUGGGGACCCAGGUAAGUGCGGGGCCCUCAGGAGCCUCUGUGUGGGGUUAUGACCUAUCGGCCGGAUGAAGCCAUAAGGGGACAUUUGGAACCAACCAU